rnacentral:lncRNA from 1 species
ACAUGAAAAAUGACUCUGAUACCAGAUUGACUUGGGCCAAUGUGCAUAUGCAUGGAAACAGCAGUGCAUAUGUGUGAGUGUGAGUGGGUCGGAGCUACAGAGAUAUAAUAUUGUCACAGUAGUAAAGGCUACGUGCGUACAUGUAGAAGUAGCAAAUGGAUAGGAUAUGUGCGUACAUGUAGAAAUAGCAAAUGGAUAGAUGAACAAUAAGCUACAUGAUACUGCCUAUGUGCACCAUAUAACUAAUAGCUCAGAACCCAGGAGUAUGACAGUAAAAUGAACUAUGAUUGAGGAGUAAAGGAGGUCAAACC